CGCACAUUGCGCCCGCCAGUAUUCUGGCGGGCAUGCCUGCCCGAGCGUCAUUUCAACCCUCGAGCCCCAGCGGCUCGGUGUUGGGGAUCGGCCCCGCCCCCGUGGCGGACGGCCGUCCCCUAAAUAGAGUGGCGGUCACGCCGCAGCAUCCCCUGCGCAGUAGCAAUAUCUCGCAGCCGGAGCGCGGCGCGGCCACGCCGUGAAACCCCAACUCUUUAAAGGUUGACCUCGGAUCAGGUAGGAAUACCCGCUGAACUUAA
rnacentral:misc_RNA from 1 species